AGUCAACGUGCCCUCAUUAUAAGAUCUGAUGAACUUGAAGUCACUAGUGCGCGAGCCCGUGGUCAGGUAUGCGUCAUAAUUGUAAGUGCUGCGGAGAGUUCCCGCACCCUCCACCUCUGCGUAAUUUGGAGGAAGAUAUGCGCUGGGAAUGGCUACAGCUCCAUCAAACAACAGUCUGGGCUUUCUCCUGUGACAAAACCUCACGGCCAGGAUGAUGAUGAUGAAGGUCAGGAAGAAAGUGGAAACGGACACCAGAGCGAUGAUCAAAUAAAACGUCAGUUUGGAGCUGCUCUCGUCACUAGACAUGUCUUUCAGUUCUGGAACUUCAGCCAAGUUAUCUGAUAUAAGCAAAUACAAUGCGCACGUGGCUGAGAGAGAGGGCUGUCCAUUAUCUCUCACGGACACAAUGAGGUUCUGUUUCAUGCUGUCAGAUUCAGAAAUGUCCCGUUGCGUCCUGAUCUCUCCGCUGUGGACACCGAUAGUGAAAAGUCCCGGAUCAGUAGCUUUAAUAAUGUGAUACGAGAGCCACGCGUUCUGGCCAGAAUCUGCGUCCACGGCGAUCACCUUGGAGACCAGGGAGCGCUCCUGAGCACCUUUGGGUACCAUCUCGGUCAUGAUGGAGUUUCCUUCCGGAGAGGGGUAUAAUAUCUGAGGGGAGUUGUCAUUCUCAUCCGCUAUGAAGACAUUCACGGUCACGUUACUGCUCAGAGGAGGAGAACCGUUGUCUCUGGCUAAAACAAGCACUUUGAAACUUUUCAACUGUUCGUAAUCAAACGACCUCACAGCAUGAAUGACUCCGGUGUCUCCGUUAAUGGAUAGAAAAGACGACACCGGUGCGCCAUUGACGUCAGAGGACAACAGAGAAUAAACUACAGUGCCAUUCUGUCUCCAGUCCCGGUCUGUUGCUGAUACUGAACAAAUAGAGGAGCCCGGUUUGUUAUUUUCUUGCACAUGAGCUCUGUAAUUCUGCUGCUGAAAUACAGGUGGAUUAUCAUUCACGUCAGCUACAGUCAAGUGAAUAUUCUUAGUGGAAGAUAAAGGCGGAGAGCCCUCAUCAGUAGCAGUAAUUGUAAUAUUAAAAUCGGAGAGCAGCUCGCGGUCUAAUUCACCUAUGGUCACCAGAGAAUAGUAAUUUUUGAUUGAAGGAACGAGUUUAAACGGGACGUUUUGCUGAAUGGAGCAGCGCACCUGUCCAUUAUUAUCAGAGUCCCUGUCCUGCACAUUAAUGAUGCCAACCUCUGUACCGGGUAACGCAUUCUCAGGAACGGGACUGUUAAGAGAGUUAAUUACGAUUAUAGGGGCGUUAUCAUUGACAUCAACGAUAUCUAUUAAUAUAGUGCAAUGACUGGCUAACCCCUGACCGUCUUUGGCUUGAAUUGGCAGCUCAAUUGAACUCUCCUCCUCAAAAUCAAUUGACCCUGUUAGUUUAAUCUCCCCAGACAAAGAAUCGAGAGAAAAUAUUUCCAAAAGGCGCUCGGAUAAAUGACCAAAUUCAUACAUCACUUCUCCAUUUUGUCCCUCGUCAGCAUCAGUAGCGCUCACUGUCACCACUACAGUAUUUACAGGAGAAUUUUCAGGCAGACUGACUUCAUAGAUGUCCUGACUAAAGACUGGAACAUUAUCAUUAGCAUCAAGCACUGUUACAUGUAUGGCUACGGUACCUGAUCUCGGUGGAGUCCCGCCGUCUACCGCAGUAAGAAUUAAUGUUAGCUCUUUUUGCUGCUCGCGAUCUAACUCUUUAUUAAGAAGGAGCUCACCAUAUUUUCUUCCAUUUGCACGAGUUAGUACAUUAAGAACAAACUGGUCGUUGUUUUGAAGUGUAUAAGAUUGCACUGAAUUCAUUCCAAUAUCCGCGUCGUGGGCCUCGUCUAAUAAAUAACGAGAACCUUUGUCUGCUGAUUCCUGUAUUUCGAAUUUUAUUCCACUUUGUUUGAACUGUGGUGAAUUAUCAUUUAUGUCUUCAAUAUUGAGAACGAAGCGGUGCAGCUCUAAGGGAUUUUCCAGCACGAGCUCUUGUUUAAGAACGCAUGAAGCUUUCUUUCCACAAAUCUCCUCUCUGUCCAUUCUCUCCGCCACGGUCAGUUCUCCAGUACUCAUAUUAAUUUCACAGUAUCGUUUUCUGUUACCUUCAGUAUGUAUGCGAACCUUACGAGAUGACAGUCUGUUCACAUCGAGGCUGAGAUCCUUUGCUAUAUUUCCAAUCACAGAUCCGCGUUUCAUCUCCUCCGGAAAAGUGUAGAUCACGUCUCCAUAAGAGGUGUGCGCCAUCAGCACGAAGAACAAAAGGACAAACAUCUCAGCAGUAACACAGAACCUUUGGAAUUCUUCAGACUUUAAGCAGAAAUUGAAUCCCGUAACAUAAUGAUUACCAUGUAGAAGAAAACAAGCAUAAAAUAAAAAUUUAGAAUAAUAGACGUAGAUAAUAUCAUGGAAUCAGUCGUCUUCGACGAGCUGAAAGCCCUGUGUA
ensembl:lncRNA